rnacentral:rRNA from 1 species
UACGGAGGGUGCGAGCGUUAUUCGGAAUUACUGGGCGUAAAGCGCGUGUAGGCGGCCAACCAAGUCUGAUGUGAAAGCCCUGGGCUUAACCUGGGAAGUGCAUUGGAAACUGGCUGGCUUGAGUACUGGAGAGGAAGGGGGAAUUCCCGGUGUAGAGGUGAAAUUCGUAGAGAUCGGGAGGAAUACCAGUGGCGAAGGCGCCCUUCUGGACGGUUACUGACGCUGAGACGCGAAAGCGUGGGGAGCAAACAGGAUUAGAUACC